rnacentral:lncRNA from 1 species
AGGUUUUUCAGCCCAAGUGAUAAUUACGUGAGCAACCUCGGUAAACCUGUUAAUCCUUCCCUAAAUCCUCCAAUCGGGCCGCCUUUAUCCCUCUCGGUGUUCUCAGUUCCCUAUUUUUUCUCUCGACAGGAAGUAACUCUCUUUUUCUUUUCUCAUGCUUGUCUUCAAUCCAGAAGUUCUUUGGGCUCACUGUUUGGUGGGGGUACUCUGAGUCAGUAUCCUAGUACCCUCAGCAGCUUAAUAUGGCUCAACAGCCCCCCUCCCCCGCCGCCUCUCACUAAGAAGAGCUCACGGCGAUCCUGCAGCUCCCCUCCCCGCAUUGCCCCCCUCCGCGGGCCCGUCCCUGCCCUGCGCCCGGCCAACCAAUCCCUGGCUCCACUCCAUUCGCGUCACAAUGGCGCCCUCGUGGCCCCGCCCCCGGACGCCAGCCGCGGAGGCCCCGCCCCGCAACGCUCAUUGCGUCUUUCCGGCUCCUUGUUGGAAGUAGCACUGCGCCGUGUCUUCCUGGAGAAGAAGGUGCUCGGAGGGACGACCGUGGUGCCGGAUGUGAAGAAGAGCGGGAGCGUGGAGACUCGGAGCCCGAGUCUUCCUCGUUGCUUUUCUUCCCUCCUUCCUCCCACUUCCUGCCUGGGCCGACCGCGCGGGCCGCGGGCCGCACCUGCAGGACGCGUUUCCAUUGGUGACAUCUUGGCGGGCCCAUCGGUGGCACUUCCUCCUUUACACCCCGUGACCCACGUCCGGCCCGCCGCCCUCAGUCACGCGGCCUCUGCCUCUGGGACGCAGCCCCGCGCGCCGGCCUUCCGGACUCCGGACCCGUCGUGGAACUCUUCUCCCUCCGCGUCCCUUCUGCCCCAGGAAGUCCCCCCGACUCGACUCAGGAGCUCCGCCCCCCACGGGUCCAGGGAAACUCUUUCCUGGCCGCCCCAGAAAGCGCCCCCCUCCGAGGCCCCGACUCGGGAGCUCCGCCCCCUCCCCCGCGGCUCCGGGAAGCUGGGACGGAGAACGCUGGCCCCACCUCAUUCCCUCCUCGGCGGCCUAGAAGUUCCCACUCCCGCCUCCGUUAAUAACAAAAGGAGACGCACCUGGACUUUCCCGGAGCCUUCUGCGUUUUUAAGCGUCGGGUGGAAUUAG